rnacentral:ribozyme from 1 species
CGAAGAGGGAGAGAGAAAAAGAGAGAAAAAGAGAGAAAAGAGAGAGAGAAGGAGAGCGCUGUUCGACAGUCUCUCGUUCUCCCUGUUAAUUAUUUAUUCAUCCUCCUC